GAUGAACGCUGGCGGCGUGCCUAAUACAUGCAAGUCGAGCGAACGGACGAGAAGCUUGCUUCUCUGAUGUUAGCGGCGGACGGGUGAGUAACACGUGGAUAACCUACCUAUAAGACUGGGAUAACUUUGGGAAACCGGAGCUAAUACCGGAUGAUAUUUUGAACCGCAUGGUUCAAUAGUGAAAGACGGUCUUGCUGUCACUUAUAGAUGGAUCCGCGCUGCAUUAGCUAGUUGGUAAGGUAACGGCUUACCAAGGCAACGAUGCAUAGCCGACCUGAGAGGGUGAUCGGCCACACUGGAACUGAGACACGGUCCAGACUCCUACGGGAGGCAGCAGUAGGGAAUCUUCCGCAAUGGGCGAAAGCCAGACGGAGCAACGCCGCGUGAGUGAUGAAGGUCUUCGGAUCGUAAAACUCUGUUAUUAGGGAAGAACAUAUGUGUAAGUAACUGUGCACAUCUUGACGGUACCUAAUCAGAAAGCCACGGCUAACUACGUG
rnacentral:rRNA from 1 species